ensembl:snRNA U1 U1 spliceosomal RNA
AUACUUACCUGGUUGAAGAGAUAACUCGCCCACAAAAGUCGUUUUCCUCUGGCCGGCUGUGCUGACCCAUGCUGUUUCCCUGCAUGUGGGAGAUUUGGCUGUGGAAUUAAUGCUAGCAGAGGACUGAGUUUGCGCUCUCACCAG